rnacentral:rRNA from 1 species
ACGGAAGGCAGCAGUGAGGAAUAUUGGUCAAUGGCCGAGAGGCUGAACCAGCCAAGUAGCGUGCAGGAUGACGGCCCUCCGGGUUGUAAACUGCUUUUAGUUGGGAAUAACUGCGGGCUCGUGAGCCCGAGCUGUAUGUACCAUCAGAAAAAGGACCGGCUAAUUCCGUGCCAGCAGCCGCGGUAAUACGGAAGGUCCGGGCGUUAUCCGGAUUUAUUGGGUUUAAAGGGAGCGUAGGCGGGCUUUUAAGUCAGCUGUGAAAUCCUGCGGCUCAACCGUGGAAUUGCAGUUGAUACUGGGAGUCUUGAGUGCACGCAGGGAUGCCGGAAUUCGUUGUGUAGCGGUGAAAUGCUUAGAUAUGACGAAGAACUCCGAUUGGGAAGCCAGCUUACUGUAGCGCCACUGACGCUGAUGCUCGAAAGCGUGGGUAUCGAACAGGAUUAGAUACCCUGGUA